UACAUCUGAUGGCGACCGGCAAACGGGAGCGGAACACGUACACAACCUUCCUUUAAGUGGGGAAUAGCCCAGAGAAAUUUGGAUUAAUACCCCGUAACAUAUAGAAGUGGCAUCACUUUUAUAUUAUAGCUCCGGCGCUUAAUGAUGGGUGUGCGCCUGAUUAGGUAGUUGGCGGGGUAACGGCCCACCAAGCCUUCGAUCAGUAACUGGUGUGAGAGCACGACCAGUCACACGGGCACUGAGACACGGGCCCGACUCCUACGGGAGGCAGCAGUAAGGAAUAUUGGUCAAUGGACGCAAGUCUGAACCAGCCAUGCCGCGUGGAGGAUGAAGGUCCUCUGGAUUGUAAACUUCUUUUAUCUGGGACGAAAAAGGGUCUUUCUAGAUCAACUGACGGUACCAGAUGAAUAAGCACCGGCUAACUCCGUGCCAGCAGCCGCGGUAAUACGGAGGGUGCAAGCGUUAUCCGGAUUCACUGGGUUUAAAGGGUGCGUAGGUGGAUUGCCAAGUCCGUGGUGAAAUCUCCGAGCUUAACUCGGAAACUGCCGUGGAUACUGGUAGUCUUGAAUAUCGUGGAGGUCAGUGGAAUAUGUCAUGUAGCGGUGAAAUGCUUAGAUAUGACAUAGAACACCAAUUGCGAAGGCAGCUGGCUACGCGUAUAUUGACACUGAGGCACGAAAGCGUGGGGAUCAAACAGGAUUAGAUACCCUGGUAGUCCACGCCCUAAACUAUGGAUACUCGACAUACGCGAUACACAGUGUGUGUCUGAGCGAAAGCAUUAAGUAUCCCACCUGGGAAGUACGAUCGC
rnacentral:rRNA from 1 species